AGGGCGGUGAGAUGUACAGGGGAACUAAGGGCGGAUGUCUGCGGGGUCCUUGUUGAGCUUUCCCGGUGGCUUCUCCAGGAACGCGCGCUUGUUCCUGUGGCGGUGCCUGCCUGUGUCUUCGUCCCUGUUUGUUCUUCAGACUUCAGGAUUUCUCCGUGUUUCCGAGACCGUAACGUACAUUUAAAAAGCUUUCUUUCUGUCACAUAUGCCGUUUUAUAUUAUGGACAUAACAAUUGUUACUUACCCACGUUUCCUAUUUGUGAAUUAUUCAUAGAUAAAGAAUUUACCAAAACUUUUAUUUUUAGUUGACACAUUGCGUAUGUUUAUGGAUAACAGUGUGUUACUUCGAUUCUUGUAUUCAUUGGGGAAGAUUCAGUCAAGCUAACUAACAUGUGCAUCAACUCACCAGCUAAUACUUUAUGGCGAGAACACUAAAAAUCUAUAAUUUAGCUAUUCUAAAAUGUACAGCAUGACUUCGGAGGAAAUGAUACUGCCCGGCCUCAGUAGCCCGACACUGAUCAUUUCUGAAGCGCGGGGUCCCCAUUUCUGAGGGGUCAUGGCUGCAUGCCCGUAAGCAAGGGGGGUGUUGGGGGUGCUUUGUUUGCCCUGUUAAUUUUGGAUGCCUCUGUGUUCUGAGAACUAUUAAGAUAAUAUGUGUUUGAAAAAUCCAGUUGCUUUAACUUUUCCUUUGUUUUAGUCUGUUAACAACGUUAUCGCUUUUCUUUUACUGACUUUAGAUUUCAUAUAUUCUUCCCUUUCUAGGUUCCAAAGGUGGAAACACAGAUGACAGAUUUUUGGUCUUUUCAUCCUUUCCUAUGUUUGGAAUAGUUCACCAGUGAAGUCAUCUCAACCAGCACAGGGCCUUGAUUCCCAACAACAAUCCCAUGAACUUGGAAGAGGAUCCUUCCCCAGCUGAAACCUUCACUUGAGACCUCGUCCUUGGCCAUCAUCUACAUCUGGAUUCAUGAUACAGAGAAACUGCUUUGAAUAACUCACCAGUGAACUGAUCUUGACCUGGACGGAAAUUGAAUCCUCCCGAGAAUCUCAGGAGCUUGGAAGGGGAUCCUUCCCCAAAUGAGCCUUCCCUUGAAAUCUCUGCCAGGCAUCUGACCCAGAGAAACGACUCCAUCACAAAUUUAUGGGAGCACACAUUCUCUUGACACUCCCAUCGUGGAUCUAUGUUGUCCUGUGGUGUAUUAAUUGGUUCUCAUGAUGCUAAUGAAGACAUACCUAAGACUGGACCAUGUUCAUGGGCUACAUUUUCCAUACCAUGUUCGUAGCUUCAGCAAGAAAACAAACUCCUGCAUCCUGGAGACCUAGCAUGAGAGAAACAGCUGACCUGGUCCAUAUUUCUCACUUCUCAGAAGAUUGUAGCAGUAAUUCAGGAGUUUCUAUAAGGAAAGUGACUUGUACAAUCCCGUUUUCCUCUUCAUUUCAAUGCAUACAUGUGGUCUAUUAUGAUGUGUACUGUGAAGAUCAUCCAUGAGUAAAUUCUUCAGGAAAAUAAAUCACCAAGUGGCAGGCCAUGAAGGAGGCAGAAGUAGAUGUGUAGAAGACAGACUUGUCUCUAGGUGGCAAGAGGGUUGAUGAACUCUGCGUGCUCAGGGUUAAGACUGGAAAGGUGAUAGACAUAAAACUCUGCUACCAUGAUGUCCCAGGCACAGAGGACACAGUGCUGAGCACUAAGCUCCUAAACAUUACUAUGAUAGCUGAGUCUGGAUUGGCCACCAGAAUUCUCAGAAAGAUGCCAUUGAAAACACCCCAUCAUCCCACCACAUCCUUAGGCAAGAACCCAAUGCUGUCUCCACCCUCUAGUCUGAAUACUGAAUAAAGUUUAAAGAGUGCAUGACUCCUAUACUU